rnacentral:rRNA from 1 species
GACGAACGCUGGCGGCGUGCUUAACACAUGCAAGUCGAACGGAAGGGCGCGGCGUUCGCUUUUCUCAAGUUAGCAGCGGGCGGGUGAGUCACACGUGGACAACCCACCUCUACGAGUUGGAUCACGUAGAGAAAGCGGAGCAAAUACCGGAUAAUAUUUUGAACCGCAUGGUUCAAAAGUGAUAUACGGUUUUGCUGACCCUUCUAGCUGGCACCGCGCUGCAUUAGCGAGUUGGUACGGUAACGGCUUACCAAGGCAACGAUGGAUAGCCGACCGGAGAGGGUGAUCGGCGACACUGGAACUGAGACACGGUCCAGACUCCUACGGGAGGCAGCAGUAGCGAAGCGUGCGCAAUGGGCGGAAGCCUGACGGAGCGGCGCCGCGUGGGUGAUGAAGGGCUUCGGAUCGGAAAACUCUGUUAUUGGGGAAGAACAUAUGUGUAAGUAACUGUGCACAUCGUGACGGUACCUAGUCAGGAAGCCACGGCUAACUACGUG